UACAGAGGGUGCAAGCGUUAAUCGGAAUUACUGGGCGUAAAGCGUGCGUAGACGGUUAUGUAAGUCGGGUGUGAAAGCCCCGGGCUCAACCUGGGAAUGCCAUUCGAGACUGCAUAGCUAGGGUGCGGAAGAGGGAAGCGGAAUUUCCGGUGUAGCGGUGAAAUGCGUAGAUAUCAUUUGGAACGCCAAUGGUGAAAACAGGUAGCUGGGGGUGUGCUGACGCUGGAGACACGAAAGCGUGGGGAGCGAACAGG
rnacentral:rRNA from 1 species